CAGCCGCCGCGGUAAUACGAGGGGGGCAAGCGUUGUUCGGAAUUACUGGGCGUAAAGGGUGCGUAGGCGGUUUGAUAAGUCAUCUGUGAAAUCUCUGGGCUCAACCCAGAGUCUGCAGGCGAAACUGUCGAGCUUGAGUAUUGGAGAGGUGAGUGGAAUUUCCGGUGUAGCGGUGAAAUGCGUAGAUAUCGGAAGGAACACCUGUGGCGAAAGCGGCUCACUGGACAAUUACUGACGCUGAUGCACGAAAGCUAGGGGAGCAAACAGGAUUAGAUACCCCCGUAGUCCCUGUCUCUUAUAC
rnacentral:rRNA from 1 species